CCUACGGGAGGCAGCAGUGAGGAAUAUUGGUCAAUGGGCUUACGCCUGAACCAGCCAAGUCGCGUGAGGGAAGACUGCCCUAUGGGUUGUAAACCUCUUUUGUCAGGGAGCAACGCCGGCUACGUGUCGCCGGACUGAGAGUACCUGCAGAAAAAGCAUCGGCUAACUCCGGGCCAGCAGCCGCGGUAAUACGAAGGAUGCGAGCGUUAUCCGGAUUUUUUGGGGUAAAAGGGUGCGUAGGCGGAAUGCCAAGUCAGCGGUAAAAUCGCGGGGCUCAACCUCGCUCCGCCGUUGAAACUGGCGUUCUUGAGUGGGCGAGAAGUAUGCGGAAGGCGUGGUGUAGCGGUGAAAUGCAUAGAUAUCACGCAGAACUCCGAUUGCGAAGGCAGCAUACCGGCGCCCAACUGACGCUGAAGCACGAAAGCGUGGGUAUCGAACAGGAUUAGAUACCCUUGUAGUC
rnacentral:rRNA from 1 species